UACGGAGGGGACUAGCGUUGUUCGGAAUUACUGGGCGUAAAGCGCACGUAGGCGGAUUUGUAAGUCAGGGGUGAAAUCCCGGGGCUCAACCUCGGAACUGCCUUUGAUACUGCAAAUCUCGAGUCCGGAAGAGGUGAGUGGAAUUCCUAGUGUAGAGGUGAAAUGCGUAGAUAUCGGGAGGAACACCUGUGGCGAAAGCGGCUCACUGGACCACAACUGGACGCUGAUGCGCGAAAAGCUAGGGGAGCAAACAGGG
rnacentral:rRNA from 1 species